UACACGACCGUACCGCAAACCGACACUGGUGCGCGAGAUGAGUAUUCUAAGGCGCUUGAGAGAACUCAGGAGAAGGAACUCGGCAAAUUGACACCGUAACUUCGGAAGAAGGUGUGCCUUUAGUAGGUGAACCUGUACAAGGGGAGCCCAAUGAGGUUGCAAAAAAUCGGUGGCUGCGACUGUUUAAUAAAAACACAGCACUCUGCAAACACGAAAGUGGACGUAUAGGGUGUGACGCCUGCCCGGUGCUGGAAGAUUAAAUGAUGGGGUGCAAGCUCUUGAUUGAAGUCCCAGUAAACGGCGGCCGUAACGAUAACGGUCCUAAGGUAGCGAAAUUCCUUGUCGGGUAAGUUCCGACCUGCACGAAUGGCGUAACGAUGGCCACACUGUCUCCUCCUGAGACUCAGCGUAGUUGAAAUGUUUGUGAUGAUGCAAUCUCCCCGCGGAAAGACGGAAAGACCUCAUGAACCUUUACUGUAGCUUUGUAUUGGACUUUGAACAGAUCUGUGUAGGAUAGGUGGGAGGCUUUGAAGUGUGGUCGCUAGAUCGCAUGGAGCCAACGUUGAAAUACCACCCUGGUGUGUUUGAGGUUCUAACCUAGGCCCGUAAUCCGGGUCGGGGACAGUGCAUGGUAGGCAGUUUGACUGGGGCGGUCUCCUCCCAAAGCGUAACGGAGGAGUUCGAAGGUACGCUAGGUACGGUCGGACAUCGUGCUAAUAGUGCAAUGGCAUAAGCGUGCUUAACUGCGAGACAGACAAGUCGAGCAGAUGCGAAAGCAGGACAUAGUGAUCCGGUGGUUCUGUAUGGAAGGGCCAUCGCUCAACGGAUAAAAGGUACUCUGGGGAUAACAGGCUGAUACCGCCCAAGAGUUCAUAUCGACGGCGGUGUUUGGCACCUCGAUGUCGGCUCAUCUCAUCCUGGGGCUGUAGCCGGUCCCAAGGGUAUGGCUGUUCGCCAUUUAAAGAGGUACGUGAGCUGGGUUUAAAACGUCGUGAGACAGUUUGGUCCCUAUCUUCCGUGGGCGCUGCAGAUUUGAGGAAGCCUGCUCCUAGUACGAGAGGACCGGAGUGGACACACCUCUGGUGUAUCGGUUGUCACGCCAGUGGCAUUGCCGAGUAGCUAUGUGUGGAAGAGAUAACCGCUGAAAGCAUCUAAGCGGGAAACUCGUUUCAAGAUGAGAUCUGCCGGGGCCUUGAGCCCCCUAAAGAGUCGUUCAAGACCAGGACGUUGAUAGGUCGGGUGUGGAAGCGCAGUAAUGCGUUAAGCUAACCGAUACUAAUUGCUCGUGCGGCUUGACCUG
rnacentral:rRNA from 1 species